rnacentral:lncRNA from 1 species
GGGAAUGAAAAAAUAACAAUGAAUGGUGUUUUAAAAUUGUGUGGCAUUGUGGUGUUAAAUUAGACAGUGUUAUUGCCCAAGGCGCCAUUUGUUCUUUUCCAAAGUAGACGAGGAAUGAGAGAUGUUAAUCUUAAUAAGUCUUUUCCCCCCUUUGUUUCUUUCAGGGAUCACAGUAUACUGAAAAGUACUCAAUCAAGAGAAAUCUGGGGGAAGCUGGGAACCAUCAAGUUAUUGAGGCCACACAGGGAGCAGAAGAAGGACAGACGUAGGUGUUUUCUGAACACAGCAGAACCCAGAGGAUUCUGACACGCGUAAGAUAAGCCUCACAAAACAUGGCCCGUUUUUCAUACUUGUAGGCACACUGUUGUUGACAACAUGGUCAGGACCAAAAAAGCCAUCUUGGGUUAUGGGCUGAAAGACAGUCUAUUGUGGUAAAAAGAACAAUGGGGAGGCGCUCAGAAGACCUGAUCUAAUUCUGCCUCUGCUCCGUACUUUGGCAACUUUUUCAGGAACUAUGGCAUAGAGGGCCUCUGUUCUGAAAUUAGAGAAUUGAGAUUAGAGAGUUAAAUAUAUUCUUCUCUAAGGCUCCUUCCCACUCUAGCAUUCUGUAGCUCUGUGAUUGGUUGUUCUCUUGGAAUCUAAACCAUAGACAUAGUCACACCCUCCUUGCAUAAAGUUCAUGGCAAAGAGAGCUUGCUAUAUGUUUAGAACAGUAAUCACUGGAAAGCAUGAAAGGCUUGAAUAUCUUGAAAUUAAAUAACUUCAUGGUUACUUAUGCCAAAAAAUUCUGGUUCCAUCAAGCACAAAUUCUUUUUUUUUAUUUAUGUAUUUUUGUAUUUAUUUAUUGAUUGAUCAAAAUAAGAUAAGGCAACCCCCUCGCCAUACGAUUUUAGGCUCAAAAGGAUGAUUGUAUCUAUGAUACAAAGAGAGCAUGCUUUUGUAUGGAAAUGUGUGAUUUCUUCAGGAAAACAGUUUUGGACAUGAGCUGUAAAAAGAGGAGAAAAUCUCAGUGAUUUGUGCAUUCCUGCA